rnacentral:rRNA from 1 species
GACGAACGCUGGCGGCGUGCUUAACACAUGCCAGUCGAACGGAAAGGCCCUGCUUGCAGGGUACUCGAGUUGCGAACGGGUGAGUAACACGUUGGUGAUCUGCCCUGCACUUCGGGUUAAGCCUGGGAAACUGGGUCUAAUACCUGAUAGGAGCCAUUUUUAGUGUUAUGGUUUGAAAGUUUUUUCGUUGUAGGAUGAGCUCGCGGCCUAUCAGCUUGUUGGUGGGGUAAUGGCCUACCAAGGCGGCGACGGGUAGCCGGCCUGAGGGGGUGGACGGCCAAAUUGGGAAUGAGAUACGGCCCAGACUCCUAAGGGAGGAAGAAGUGGGGAAUAUUGAACAAUGGGCGCAAGCCUGAUGCAGCGACGCCGCGUGGGGGAUGACGGCCUUAGGGUUGUAAACUCAGUUCGCUAGGGACGAAGCUUUUUGUGACGGUACCUAGAGAAGAAGCACCGGCUAACUACGUG